UACGUAGGGGGCUAGCGUUGUCCGGAAUCAUUGGGCGUAAAGCGCGCGUAGGCGGCCCGGUAAGUCCGCUGUAAAAGUCAAAGGCUCAACCUUUGAAAUGCAGUGGAUACUGCCGGGCUAGAGUCCGGGAAGAGGCGGAGUGGAACUCCUGGAUGUAGCGGUGGAAUGCGCAGAUAUCAGGAAGAACACCGGUGGCGAAGGCGGCGACCUGGUCCGUGACUGACGCUGAGGCGCGAAAGCGUGGGGAGCAAACAGG
rnacentral:rRNA from 1 species